CUUCAGCAUCAUAACUUCCUUCCAAG
rnacentral:piRNA from 1 species